AGGGAGAUGAAGACGUAAAAAAGGAAGCAAUGGAGUCUUUGUGAGGUUCGGCAAAUUAAAGGCUGGAAAAUAAAUGAGAAACAAGAUCGGCAAGGUAAGAAACAAGUGGCUGGAGUCCAUUUGGAUGGACGCUCUCACGUUCAAGUGCAGAAAAAACCCUGGCAAGUUGAGACAGCAAGAGAUACUGUAUCUGCAUUGGCAGGCUGCAAAGGUAUUAUAAAGCUGUCUGGUAUUCUAGAGUUUUAUCACCAAAAACCCUUUUAUGUCUUUGUUAGAAAUUUUCACAGCAGCAUCAAAUCAAAUCUGAGAAGAUUUUAAUCAUGAAGAAACAAAAAAAUAACGCAGACAGCGAUACGCACCAUCACUGUCCUACUGUGAUGAAAGAAUGGGGGUUUGUCUGCAUGGUCUCCAUAACAGGACAAGUAUAUUUACAACAAUGUCACAUAAUGGAACAUAUAUACCCAUUAUACUUUUGUACCUUGAUCAUAUAUAGAACCCGCAAGGUUAUUUAUGAUGCUUGUGGGCCUGACAAUGAUGUUUUGGCAUCGCAUCACGAGCACACAGUCACAGAGCGGAAACCCCAUGGGAACUGAGGCCACACACGCCAUAUGGCUGAUGUAUCUUCUGAAAAGUUUCAUUCAGUAGAAGUGCAUGAUCAAUUGCAGUUAUCGCUUGUUGGAAUUCUAUGUAAUUCAUAUUCCACCAGAUGCUCACUAUAUAGAACUGUAAAUUUCAAACAGCGGUCCAGAUAUAGUAGCUCUGCCUUUUCUCUUGCUGGUGGCUGCGAGGGUGAGAUUCUGGCCAUUAUCAUUUUGUAAUUACAUUUCGACACUUGGAGCAGAGACGGAGCGAGAGUUAUAGAUUCACACGGGGAGACGUGAAGAGGCGAGUGUCAUAUGCAGUCUCUGGCCAACCUUUCGGGUCCAUAAUACCCAGUAACAUAUCUCCAUGUUUCUGUUCAUCAUCCCUUCUGUCAGCACCUCCCCCCUCCCCCUACUGCCUGCUUUCCCCAUCAAAAUUUCUUACUUUCUGAAUCCAUCUUUCAGUCUCUGUCGGAAUCCCAUUCCAUCUCAUUCUCACCUCUCAAACUCUUACCCUCCACUAUCCGUCUCCUCCUCCGCCCCCCAUCCAUCCUAUUCUACUUCUGUUGGCAUGACUGAUUGCUGAAACUGGGCUGGGCUCGCUGCCGCGCUGCCUGCAAAGUAUCCCGCACAAGCACAACUAUGUCGCCCCCGAUACUCAGCCUCUGCGUGCAUUGAUUACCCCCACAAUGCGAGGAGAUAAUCAGUGGGCGUGACCAGAUUUUGAAACAUGAUGGGCCCCUUGCUUGUGUUUAAAUGGAGCUGAUCUCGCCGGUUUUUAAUCAGAGGCGCAGAGGAGGCUUAAUCAAGCAGUAUUUCUGAUGGAUUCGCGGAAUGGGGAACCCAUUCAUCAAGUCAAUUACACAUUAAUCAUGAGCUCACCCGCAGAUUUGGGAGUGAGACAUGAGGAGGGGCUCCACUUUGUUCUUGGGAUGAAUAGCAAGCGGCAUUAUGUUAAACCCUCUUAUCCACGAGCCUGUGAAUUAUUGUACAAUAAAAACUCAGUCUGUUGAAGGGUGUUGAUCAGCCAGCCAUUUGUGUGCUUUACAAAGACGGAUUCUUGAAGUGGCUCCAUUUGCUCAAUGCUCAGCAAAUUUCACUGUGUGCAUACUAGUUCACAUCACAAUAUCAUUCAACACUGUUGUAAUGAGUAAAAAAAAUAUUGAUUGCAUUGUCCGUACAGUAAUGCGGGACUCUGAACACUAUACAUGAGAUUGGAUGCAAAUUAAACUCCAUUCACGGCCAAGUGUAGACACAGUGUGAUUGAUAUUUAAAUAUUGAUUAUCCCAUUCCCUCGUCUUUGGAGUGCACUGUGCGGACCAUUUAAUUUGCAUAACUUCCAAAGGCAGUUAGGUCACAGCAGGUGAACUAUAUUACCACCAACCUCCCAUCCAUAAAUCAUGCACACUGACAAGCCCUGUAUUUGUCAGGAAAUCAAGGAUGAAAUAUGAGUUAUGAAAACUGUGGCAGAGAAGUGAUCGUGUGUGUGUAAAUUAUAACAAUGUUAGUUGGCUCCAAACAUAACACAUGUUGGCAGGUGAAUAACUGACAAUCCGUGGAGCGGCAGAGAAAACCAUGGCGCCGUUAUUUUUAAAUAAAUUAUGUACAUCUCUUUCUAUAAGCUCCACAUCCACCAAGGAACUGGACUGAAUAAAUAUACCAUGUGCAUAUUUAUGAAGGAAGCACAUAAAGAUUUAUUCUUUUUUUUAACAUGCUGGACAGAUGGACGGGAAAAAAAGUUUAAGCUAUACAAAACUUUCUUGAAAAGGGACAGCGAAGAAUUAAUUUUCCAGUUCAGUCAAGAUAGGAGUGUGUGUCUGUACAUCGCUGUGUGGUCCAAAUAACCUCACAAUAUACUGUAUCAAUGUUCUGACAAAUUUUAUUAAAAGUCAAAUAAAGAAGAUUUGAUUUGA